UGAAGUCGGCAACCGCAAGGAACCGCCUAGGGUAAAAUCGGUAAUUGGGGCUAAGUCGUAACAAGGUAGCCGUAUCGGAAGGUGCGGCUGGAAUACCUCCUUUUUAGAGCU
rnacentral:rRNA from 1 species